AUAUAUAUAUAUCCAUAUAUAAUUAACUUUUUAAUUAAUUAAUAUAUAUUAAUUUAAUAUUUUGCUCAUUUUAUUAACCUCAGCCAAAUCCUUCAUUUUUCAAUGAACGGUUUAAAGUGGUACCAUAAAAUAUACGACGCACCUUAGUGAAACGGCUUUUUAUGGAAAUUAAGUACUUGUAAUUUGUCUAAAUAUUACCUGUUUUAAGCACAAUGCUCCAAUGUAAAGUGCCAUAUGGGACUAUAAAUAGUACGAAUUUCUAUCAAAACUAACCGUCCAGACAUAUCAACAGAUAACAGUGUGACCGGAGAUGAAGUCAUUCAGAGUAAAUUAUAGUUUAAAGAUUUAAUGAAACACAUUCUGUGAGCAUAAACAAUAUUGAAACGUUGUAAAAAUAAAUUCGGCACAAUAACAUCAUCAUCCGGGUUGAAUGCCUAAUGAUAGAGGAUAUCUUGUUGAUAUGAUGGAAUAUUUAGCCAUAUCAAAACAUUUCAGUUUUACAAAACUAAUCAAAUUUUUUAAUGUUGUUUCAG